rnacentral:tRNA from 1 species
GGGUUUGCUGACCCCCUUAGGGAAUGAAGAUGGUCUGGAGACCCGUAGGUCGCCGGUUCAAAUCCGGCCAGCCCCACCA